rnacentral:rRNA from 1 species
GCUCGCACAUCGAUGAAGAACGCUGCGAACUGCGAUACGUAAUGCGAAUUGCAGGAUUCAGUGAGUCAUCGAAAUUUUGAACGCAUAUUGCACUUCCGGGUUAGUCCUGGAAGUAUGCCUGUAUCAGUGUCCGUACAACAAACUUGGCUUUCUUCCUUCC